GACGAACGCUGGCGGCGUGCCUAACACAUGCAAGUCGAACGGAGUAAGUUGCUUCGGUAAUUUACUUAGUGGCGAACGGGUGAGUAACGCGUGAGGAACCUACCUUUCAGGGGGGGACAACAGUUGGAAACGACUGCUAAUACUGCAUAAUGUAUUUGAGUGGCAUCGCUUGAAUACCAAAGCUUUAUGUGCUGAAAGAUGGCGUCGCGUCUGAGUAGCUAGUUGGUGAGGUAACGGCUAACCAAGGCGACGAGAAGUAGUCGGUCUGAGAGGAUGAACGGCCACAUUGGGACUGAGAUGCGGCCCAGACUCCUACGGGAGGCAGCAGUGGGGAAUAUUGGGCAAUGGGGGAAACCCUGAACCAGCAACGCCGCGUGAAGGAAGAAGGCCCUCGGGUUGUAAACUUCUUUUACCAGGGACGAAGAACGUGACGGUACCUGGAGAAAAAGCCACGGCUAACUACGUGCCAGCCGCCGCGGUAAAAC
rnacentral:rRNA from 1 species